rnacentral:lncRNA from 1 species
CCCCCCAAAUAAGACCACCAUAUCCUCAAUUUGUAAGGCGCUUUCAUGUAAUUUCUCUUCAUAAUUAUAAUUAGUUCUUUUGAAGUUUGUCUGUGUUUGAUUUGCCUCUUCACGGUGCCAGUAGGGGACACAUCUCCCAUCUUUAAAUUCCACCAGUCUUCUCCCUUCUCUUCUCUCCUCCCACUCCUCCUAUGUUCUGGAGAGUGUGUAUAAAUGCUUUGUUCUUCAAAGUUUUCAUUACUCAGAAGGUGGCAUACAAAAUAGUUACAUAAUGCACACUUUAUUCACAUUUAUAAAAUCAUUAAUCAAAAAGUUUUCAUUGCAAAAAUUUCCAAACGAUGUCUGUAACCAACAACUGCAGCGCAGGGGUAUACUACAACCCAGCACAAUUCAUUAAGCUCUCUCAGUGGGUUGAAUCUCUGAUACUCCAGCAGUCUCAGUAACACUUCAGGAACUAAUACAGAGGCUAUGUCUCUCUGGAGAGUAGUCUUCCAACUUUCUGGGACAGAAGUCAACCACCAUAUUCCCCAUCAACUUCCCAAAAGAAGAGAGAGGAGUGGGGGAGGUAGAACAGGUUGCAAAUCCACUUAGGCAAACUCCGUAUGGACUAACCCACCAAAUCAAAGGCCAGGAAGUUACCCAAACCAACUUUAAAAGCGCUCAGAGUUCGGAUGCGAAUCAGACAAGGGUAUGCCUCCUGUGACACCUGAGACACCACGAAAGUUCUUGAAAGCACCUGUUGUGGGUUUACCCUCUUCCUGGUUAACUUCUAUUCCUUUUCUUGGCGUUCUCCUUUCCCCAUUUUCUUGCUUCUCAGAGUUAGGCAAACAAAGGGAAUCCUCAAGUCACAAGGUGCAGCUGGGGCUCAGGUAGAGGACCCUGACCGCAUCACACCAGAAUACAACUCUCAGGUAGUGAAACGGAUGGAGGCGGUGAGAAAGCCGAUGUCCAAACCAAGUAAACUCAGACGCGCACGCGCGUGGCUCGCAGCGCGUCUCCGGUGGCCGCAUCACAGCGCCUGCGCACAGAAUCCGAGGACGGGCGGGGAGCGGAGAAGAGCCGGGGCCUAGCGCUCCCACCGCCUCACUCCCCUCAGCCUGCGAGCCCC